GAAACGACUCUCGACAACGGAUAUCUCGGCUCUCGCAUCGAUGAAGAACGUAGCUAAAUGCGAUACUUGGUGUGAAUUGCAGAAUCCCGUGAACCAUCGAGUCUUUGAACGCAAGUUGCGCCCGAAGCCGUCGGGCCGAGGGCACGUCUGCCUGGGCGUCACGCAUCGCGUCGCCCCCC
rnacentral:rRNA from 1 species